GGGCGUAAGUGCGAGGAACUUUCGAGACGUCCAGGUCUCGGGGAGUCACGUGUCCUCUGAGCUAACCGCUUGCAGCGCCUGAGGUGAAAGGCUCGGGGGUGACUUAGCGGGAAUUGUCUCCCCUCAACCCGUGCCUCCCCGGCUGACGCCAUGAGCUCCCCCGAUGAGGUGGCAGCCCCUGGAGUCCGUGGUGACAAGGACGCCGCCUCUACCGGUGACAUGAAUUCCCGGGAUCAGGGGUCUGCUCCUGAAGCUCACUUGGGCCAGGAGGGCAGGGAGCACUUAGGGGACCCCCUGAUCAGCCCUAGAGUACCGAGGGGUUCAAGCCUCAUCCAAGGUCCUCGGGAGAUUGGAGAGGGUGAGGGCGGCCGCCCAGGUAUGGAAGGCUGCGAGGUGGAAUCGGGGCGGAAAUUGGAAGCGACACAGGAAGGAGAAGGGGUGCUUAGGGACCCGGAAGGCCGGCCCAGUUCUCCCGUGGACCAAGAAGAGGUCGGUCUGGACUUUCUGCCCCAGCUCAGUAUUGAGGCUAAGGCAAUGAUGCGCGAGCUGACCAACCUGCAGACCCGAAAAGUCUGCAGGUACCAGUCCCCACAAACCUGUGCCGCUGAACUGGCUGCCCUUUGGGGAUGCAUGGAUGAAGGCUCCAACAGAGGGGCCCUGUCCCUGAGCUCUGUAGAAGGGAAGCAGACCUCUGCAGGCUCCCUGUACCCCCGGGGCCUGGGACGAGGCAGAGCCUGGGUGACCCCGCGGAGAGGAACCACAAGUAGGAUAGUGAGCAGUGAAGCUGUCCAGUGUCCCUCCUACAACCCUACGUCUUCUGAUGAGUCCAAUGAGACAAGGGUGAUGAGGGUGACCAUUUGCCUCAAAGAAGGAGGCCAGGCCAAGUCCACUGGCAGCACCGAGCGGGAAGACACAGGCAAACACGCGAGUGUCCAUGGCAGGGGAAGUUUCGUCCAUGUGCCCCACUCUGUACUGUCCAGUGCGAACCGGACACUCAGCUCAGGCGGGGAGAAGCAGGCUUUGGGUGAGCUGGAGGGCUCUCUGUCUAAGAAAAAGCCAAGUGUUGUCUGGGGCACCGAAGGGAGCAGACCCAGCUUCCCAGGAGCGACUUCUGCUGCCCCAGCUGCUGGAGCGGCAGCCUCUGCUGCUGUCCCCGCACCUACUCCUGCUGCUUCAGGGGCCUUGCCCAAGACCAGUCCUAGAAAGAAGGCACCCCAGGAGAAGAAGCCCUUGACAGAUGUCUCAAGAGGAUCCCUGGGAGGAACCUUCCCACCAUGGGGACAGAGACUUAAGUCAGCUCCUGUAAGGUCAGCCACCCUUCCCCCAAUCUCCGGGGUUGCCCUGCUUGGGAAGGCCACUAAACGCCCAAUGAUUUCCGGGCCAAAAGAGUGCAAGCCUUUCUGCACUGGGAAGAGAUCCAUGGCAAGGAAGACAAAGGAAUCCCAGCCAGGGGCCAAAGAAGAUAAUGACCCAACCAGAGAUCCUGGCCUGCAGGCCCAACUUCCAACACACAGGGCAGAGCAGCCUUGCACGUGCACGCAUCGUGGAGAAAUGAGCAGUGGAGACCCCAACACCAGAGCACCCCAAGUUGCAGGGAACUCUCAGUUCUUGUCCUUGAGCCAGAGAAGUGCCAGACCCAGAGCACCUGCACCGGCUGGUGACCAGGAUAUACUUGUGUGUCCUUUAUUACCUGCUGAAGAGGGUGAACCAGUAUUACAAGGCACACCAGGCUGUCCUCAGUGUCUGAUGCUACGGAAGGAAAUAGAGGAACUCAAGGAACAACUAGGUAUGACCGAGCCAGGGCAGGGGAUCGAUGGGAACAGGGCCAGAGGGAGAGCCUAGUGUUUGUGUGCAGGUGACUGGGGUGGGCUGAGGGGCGGUUCUCAGUGGGAAGGGACCUCAAGCAGGCCAGGCUGGGAGCCCUCUGUGCAUUGAGUGCGGGGACUUGCACCAAGAAGCAAUGCUGUCCCGUGCGCUGUGCAGAUGAGUCCCCCAGGUUCCCUUCUCUCUGGGCAUUGACACGGUCAGUCCUCCUUUAGUUUCCCUUGGAGUGCCGCAGUUGCGACUUGUGAGGUGUUUGUUGUUACGUGUCUGUUCGUUUUACAAGUAGGGCUUGCACUGCUGUGGUCCAGCGUUUGAGGACUGCCUGUCCGUGCUGUUCUCCUGUAGAAACGUUUGCACAUAGAGCUCAGGGAUGGGGGGAGGAGUCUGUCCCGAGGCUCCUUGCACAGGGGCUGGAGGGCAGUGGGCAGCUGGCCUGGAGUUCUGUGGCACAGAGAAUAGGGCUCCGGCCGGUGGGGUCCUGGAUGUCUGUGUCUGGAGACCCAUUGGUACCUCUUGUGUUUCAGCCAUCAUGCAGGCCCUCAACGAAAAGUUCCAGGAUCUUUGAAAUGAUGCUCUGCUGUCCACAGGCCCUUUGAAGUUGGACCCGGCAUCCCUGCAGAAGAGGCCAGGCUACUCCCCAUGGAUCCUGCUCCCUUCCCGGCACUCUACAGCACUGGUUCUCAACCUUCCUGAUGCUGCCCCCUUUUAUACCAUUCCUCUUGUUGAUGUGACCCCCAGAAUAAGAUUAUCUCACUGUUACUGUCCUGCCUGUAAAUUAGCGACUGUUAGGAAUUUUAAUGUAACUCUCCCACAAGCUGAGAACCUGUGCUCUCCAGCCAGAGCCCACUUUGUGCCCCGACUUUGCCCCUCGCCUACCCCUGGGGACAGCUGUCGCCCACUAAGUAGUUUUGUCCUGUGUAUGGUCCGCCCUUUCUCUUUUGGUGGGGGAUGAGGUAUAGCAACAGGGUGGUGGAAACUGUUCCUUUCCCACCCUUCAAAGAACACUAGCCCUCCUGUACACUCUGUCUCCCCCACACAGCUCCCAUGCAUGAGGUUUCCAAAAUCUAAAUAAAGUAUUUUGUGGGAAAAAGG